UGCGAAGCGAAGCAGCGAUGUGAAGCAAAUCGCACCAAAGCCGGUCCCAGUUCGGAUAAGAGGCUGAAACUCGCCUCUUUGAAGUCGGAAUCGCUAGUAAUCGCAGAUCAGCAUGUUGCGGUGAAUACGUUUCCUGGUCUUGUACACACCGCCCGUCAAACCAUGAGAGUCGCCAACACCCGAAGUCCGCUUUGCGGCCUAAGGUGGGGGAGAUGAUUGGGGUUAAGUCGUAACAAGGUAAC
rnacentral:rRNA from 1 species